UGAGUGCGAGCUGCUACGGCAGCGAAGUUGGUGAUGUCAAGCUUCCAAGAAAAGCCCUAUACCCGUUAAGGCAUCAUGGCCUGUACCCGAAACCGACACAGGUGGGGUGGUAGAGAAUACCGAGGGGCGCGAGGUAACUCUCUCUAAGGAACUCGGCAAAAUGGCCCCGUAACUUCGGGAGAAGGGGUGCCAGCGAGAGCUGGUCGCAGUGAAGAGGCCCAGGCGACUGUUUACCAAAAACACAGGUCUCCGCUAAGUCGCAAGACGAUGUAUGGGGGCUGACGCCUGCCCAGUGCCGGAAGGUUAAGGAAGUUGGUCAGCGAAAGCGAAGCUAGCGACUGAAGCCCCGGUGAACGGCGGCCGUAACAAUAACGGUCCUAAGGUAGCGAAAUUCCUUGUCGGGUAAGUUCCGACCCGCACGAAAGGCGUAACGAUCUGGGCGCUGUCUCGGAGAGAGGCUCGGCGAAAUAGAAUUGUCUGUGAAGAUGCGGACUACGUGCACCCGGACAGAAAGACCCUAUGAAGCUUUACUGUAGCUUGGUAUUGUGCUCGGGCUCGGAAUGCGCAGGAUAGGUGGGAGGCAGAGAACCAUUGCUUGCGGGUGAUGGUGAGCCACUGGUGAGAUACCACUCUUUCCGAGCUAGAGUUCUAACAGCCACCCGUUAUCCGGGGGCUGGACAGUAUCAGGUGGGCAGUUUGACUGGGGCGGUCGCCUCCUAAAAGGUAACGGAGGCGUGCAAAGGUUCCCUCAGGCUGGUUGGAAAUCAGCCGACGAGUGCAAAGGCAGAAGGGAGCUUGACUGUGAGACCUACAAGUCGAACAGGGACGAAAGUCGGCCUUAGUGAUCCGACGGUUCUGCGUGGAAGGGCCGUCGCUCAACGGAUAAAAGUUACUCUAGGAUAACAGGCUGAUCUCCCCCAAGAGUUCACAUCGACGGGGAGGUUUGGCACCUCGAUGUCGGCUCAUCGCAACCUGGGGCUGAAGUCGGUCCCAAGGGUUGGGCUGUUCGCCCAUUAAAGCGGUACGCGAGCUGGGUUCAGAACGUCGUGAGACAGUUCGGUCCAUAUCCGGUGCACGCGCAGGAAUAUUGAGAGGAUUUCUCCCUAGUACGAGAGGACCGGGAGGAACGCACCUCUGGUGUGCCAGUUAUCGUGCCAACGGUAAACGCUGGGUAGCCAUGUGCGGAGGAGAUAACCGCUGAAAGCAUCUAAGUGGGAAGCCCACCUCAAGAUGAGUAUUCCCAUGGGGUAACCCAGUAAGGUCACGGGAAGAUUACCCGUUGAUAGGCUCUACGUGGAAGCGCAGUAAUGCGUGAAGCGGAGGAGUACUAAUAGACCGAGGGCUUGACC
rnacentral:rRNA from 1 species